rnacentral:lncRNA from 1 species
UGCUGAUAUUACUUUUGCUCAAGGCUCCUGGAUAGGGUUCUCAGAAGUCAUUCCACACAAAUGUGCACUUGACUUCUUAAUCGAUCGACCAUUCGUUCUUCUGAUGCCACCCAAUCCUAAUUAGUUAAUUGAUGUCUGACAUCAAACAACCCCAUCCUAAUUAGUGAAAGAACUUAUGCGUUCUACCCUAUUUUUUUCCUGGGCGUGGUUUCAGGUACGUAUACCAUCUCUGUAGUAUGUGUUUGGCACAUGAGAGUGAUAGAGGAAAGAAAUGGCAAGUUAGAAGCGUUUGAUCAAUGGGUAUAGCCAACAUGGUGUAUAUAUUGGGUGAAACUAGUAGUACGUGUGUAGAGUCGGAUGAGUAGACACAAGAAAUAAAUUAGCUGGGCGUCAUUACAAACGUGGGCUAGCCAAAUUAUUUAUGUGCACAUGUAUUCUCUGAAAAGAAGAACAAAUGGUGUGUUUGGUUUCCUGGGUGGCUUUUGCCUGCAUUGCAUAUAGGAAACAGGCCCCAUCUAGCUGGAGUACUCCGUAUUAGCCAGGCUGAGUGGAUGCAAAAAAUCAAGAGAGACGAGUGUUUGGCACACAUGGUCAGUUUUUGCAUGAACGAUCCAACAAAAACAACUGAAUCUUUCUCCCUCCAUGAAGAAAUCAGAACCUGAAUUCCAUGAAAAAAGAAAAAAAAUUCCAACCCAAAAAUUUAGAUUCCAAUAAUUCUAGAACAGAAAUUCGUAGCCAAAUCGUUUUCAACACCGCUGGAAUAAUGAGGAAAAAUGGAUGAGGUUGGCUGCGUGGAUUUGUAUAAGGAUCUAGAAUUUCACGUCAAUUAUUUUAGCACAGAGGGAGUACAAUAAUUAGUACAGAUGCAUGCCGAAGUUUUUAGACCGAUCACGAGAAGAAAAAAAUGCGAGAAACAAAAAUAGUACAAUACACAUGCAAGUAUUUACACGGGUUCCAAUCUGUGGUUCAGAAAUCGUUUCACGCAUCCGCGCGCC